GAUGAACGCUAGCGGCAGGCCUAACACAUGCAAGUCGAGGGGCAUCACGAGGUAGCAAUACUUUGGUGGCGACCGGCGCACGGGUGCGUAACGCGUAUGUAACCUACCUAUAACAGGGGCAUAACACUGAGAAAUUGGUACUAAUUCCCCAUAAUAUUCGGAGAGGCAUCUCUCCGGGUUGAAAACUCCGGUGGUUAUAGAUGGACAUGCGUUGUAUUAGCUAGUUGGUGAGGUAACGGCUCACCGAGGCAACGAUACAUAGGGGGACUGAGAGGUUAACCCCCCACACUGGUACUGAGACACGGACCAGACUCCUACGGGAGGCAGCAGUGAGGAAUAUUGGUCAAUGGACGCAAGUCUGAACCAGCCAUGCCGCGUGCAGGAAGACGGCUCUAUGAGUUGUAAACUGCUUUUGUACGAGGGUAAACUCACCUACGUGUAGGUGACUGAAAGUAUCGUACGAAUAAGGAUCGGCUAACUCCGUGCCAGCAGCCGCGGUAAUACGGAGGAUUCAAGCGUUAUCCGGAUUUAUUGGGUUUAAAGGGUGCGUAGGCGGUUUGAUAAGUUAGAGGUGAAAUCCCGGGGCUUAACUCCGGAACUGCCUCUAAUACUGUUAGACUAGAGAGUAGUUGCGGUAGGCGGAAUGUAUGGUGUAGCGGUGAAAUGCUUAGAGAUCAUACAGAACACCGAUUGCGAAGGCA
rnacentral:rRNA from 1 species